GUGCUGAUUCAAUGGGUGUUGUUAGGUUUAGAUUAGUAGUUCCUUGUUGUUGGGUUUUUCGGUGGUGUUGAUUUUUUUGUUGUCGAUGUGGGGGAUUGUUCGUUUGUUUGGUUUUAAUUUGGUUUUUUUUUUUCUGUAUUAAAAAUCUGGCUCAGUUACUCUCUAGUUCUGGUGUGUUUCUUUUCCAGGUGGUUGGUGUUUCUGCAGUGUUUGGCACAGGACCGGGUGAGUUUUUUACCCAGCUUUCUAAAGCUGUAGAUGAAUAGGAGAGACUGAACGCACUCCCUUUAUUCACCUUUUCAGAGAGUAUCGUCCACAAUACGAGCGCCUGAGAAAAACACUGGACAGUUCUCUGCAGGCACAGCUCCACAGAGUUUGGCUUCCCGGCGCUGCUGAACAGGUCCUAGAAUCCCACCUGACCGGAGGUUGCUUUCCACGCUUAGUCAGAAGUUCUGUGUAACCUCAGUUGAAAUGUAAGACCUGCACAGUGACUUCUGCUCUCUGACUGGGGGACAGGCUGCUGGGUUUGGGUGAGGUUUCUCUUCUCCCGAUGUUUUAAAUGUUCUCAGAAUCCACAUGUAAAUCUUUAUCUACGGGAGAAAGCUCAAAAUAAACAAAAGAGAGAGCAGCUGGAACACUUGUGGAAGGACAUGGGCAGCGUGUGUGUGCAGGGCAGCACACUGGCAGGACCUGAUGCUUCUGCAAUGGGUCCCUCUGAGCUAAUUCUAACACGGGGAGCUCUCGAUGAAGAGCAAGAAGACAGGGAGAGUGACGCUGAUGGCAUUGACCAUGAAGGUAAGGGAAUGAGGUCUAAAAGCUGCCUCUCAAGAAAUCCCCUCUAUAUUUCAUGACCUGGAUGGACUGUAAGGAGAGCCUAGCAAACAAGCAAACAUUCAGUCACCUGACGUGUCAGAAUCUGUAGCGGAAGCUCCGCUGCAAUGGUCAGUGCAGGGAUAUCACUCUGUAAGCUUUGUGAAAGUUCAAUUGUAAAUUUUCUAUUCGAGUAAUUAAUAGGUGUAUAACACACAUAAACCAGAGAACUCGUUAGGCUUGGGGCAUGCAGUGACCUCUGAACCUGAUUGAUGCACAGAUGUGUCCAUCAUCUUUUUGGCCUUACAGUUUGUGGCCCUGGCUCUCUUCCCUUUUCCUGUGACUGUGGUCUUGGAGCAAUCUUCUAAGUUGUUACAGUGUGAUUUUUCUCUUAUAUAGCUCACAGACUUAAUCUUCCUUCUUUCCCUGUUCCGCUGAUGGGUAGGAUCACUUAUUUCCUUUGCCCUGUAAUGUAGUUGAAGAUGGAAUAGACUUUCUAUGUUGCUUUGGCUA